GACGUAGGGCGCGAGCGUUGUCCGGAUUUAUUGGGCGUAAAGAGCUCGUAGGCGGCUUGUCGCGUCGACUGUGAAAUCCCGCGGCUCAACUGCGGGUCUGCAGUCGAUACGGGCAGGCUAGAGUGUGGUAGGGGAGAUCGGAAUUCCUGGUGUAGCGGUGAAAUGCGCAGAUAUCAGGAGGAACACCGGUGGCGAAGGCGGAUCUCUGGGCCAUUACUGACGCUGGAGGAGCGAAAGCGUGGGGAGCGAACAGG
rnacentral:rRNA from 1 species